rnacentral:lncRNA from 1 species
AGGCUAGGCCGAGCUAGGCUUUGCCAAGCCUGAGCCUGGCCUGUCAAAAAAUCGAAGGUCUGAGCCUGACCUGUGGCCUAUCAUAGGCUUAAAUUCUAGGCCUGAGCCUGACCUUUUGAAAGUCUGAUGUGGCCUGUUAGCCUGUUUAAAAGCCUAUUUCAUAUGAACAUAUUUAAAUAAAUAAUUAUAUUUAUUUUGAAAUAUACUUAUCAACUAAUAAAAUAAUGUUCCAUUUGAUAUUUUAGAGAAUUUGACUAUAUAUGUCAUCAUAUUUCAAUUCUAGUUUAUAAUAAUACAUUUAUAUAUGUUAAAAACUAAUGUAGAU